rnacentral:rRNA from 1 species
GACGAACGCUGGCGGCGUGCUUAACACAUGCCAGUCGAACGGAAAGGCCCUGCUUUUGUGGGGUGCUCGAGUGGCGAACGGGUGAGUAACACGUGAGUAACCUGCCCUUGACUUUGGGAUAACUUCAGGAAACUGGGGCUAAUACCGGAUAGGAGCUCCUGCUGCAUGGUGGGGGUUGGAAAGUUUCGGCGGUUGGGGAUGGACUCGCGGCUUAUCAGCUUGUUGGUGGGGUAGUGGCUUACCAAGGCUUUGACGGGUAGCCGGCCUGAGAGGGUGACCGGCCACAUUGGGACUGAGAUACGGCCCAGACUCCUACGGGAGGCAGCAGUGGGGAAUAUUGCACAAUGGGCGGAAGCCUGAUGCAGCAACGCCGCGUGCGGGAUGACGGCCUUCGGGUUGUAAACCGCUUUCGCCUGUGACGAAGCGUGAGUGACGGUAAUGGGGAAAGAAGCACCGGCUAACUACGU